rnacentral:misc_RNA from 1 species
UGUACGAGAUACGCUUCGAUCGCCCGGCGGCUCCAACUUUUGGUGGUGUCGUGGGAACGUUCGGUGUAUCGCGUCCAGCGAUGGGACGACGCGUGAGUGGUGUUUAGGAUGUGUUUCCAUGCAGGCUCCAUGUAUCUUGCAUCGAACUGCAUGGGUCCAUCUGUUUCAUUCGUGGGUUCGCCUCGAAGUAUUCAGGUUCGGCUGCGGAUACUCGCUGUGUUACUGUGCUCGAUAUUGAAUUAUAAAGUCGGAAGGAUCGGUAUUCCUCGUAUUGCUUAGUUGAUUCUCCUCUGCCGUGCGCGGCGAUGGUGGGAUAUGGGUGCGAGCAUCGACGUUCUACUUUCGGGCCGUUGCCCCUUUUGGGCGCUUUCCGCUCGUGGUGGCACGUCGAUGCCGUCGGCUCUUUCGGGUGCGGAUAUUUCCUGGUUAUCGCUUUGGUCUUCGACCUUCGUGAACGUAUCGUAUCGAGGCAUUCUUGCUUCUGCAUGUACGACCCUCGUGCUCCGUCCGAGAGCUCACGGAGCCCCUUCGUUCGGUGUCCUUCUAGGGGAGCUAUCGAGGUCUACAGAGGAAUGCUACCUGGUUGAU